GGCCCGCACAAGCGGUGGAGCAUGUGGUUUAAUUCGACGCAACGCGAAGAACCUUACCUGGGUUUGACAUGUGCAGGAUCGGUGAUGAAAGUCACUCUCCCUUCGGGGCCUGUGCACAGGUGCUGCAUGGCUGUCGUCAGCUCGUGUCGUGAGAUGUUGGGUUAAGUCCCGCAACGAGCGCAACCCUUGCCCUCUGUUGCUACCGGGUCAUGCCGGGCACUCUGAGGGGACUGCCCCGGUGAACGGGGAGGAAGGUGGGGAUGACGUCAAGUCCUCAUGGCCUUUAUGUCCAGGGCUACACACGUGCUACAAUGGUCAGGACAAUGGGUCGCUCCCUCGCAAGAGGUUGCCAAUCUCAAAAACCUGGCCCUAGUUCGGAUGGUCGGCUGCAACUCGCCGGCCUGAAGCUGGAAUCGCUAGUAAUCGGAGAUCAGCACGCUCCGGUGAAUACGUUCCCGGGCCUUGUACACACCGCCCGUCACACCACGAAAGCCGUGUGUACCAGAAGUCGCUGGGCCAACCCCUUCUGGGGAGGUAGGCGCCUAAGGUAUGCGGGGUAAUUGGGGUGAAGUCGUAACAAGGUAGCCGUAG
rnacentral:rRNA from 1 species